rnacentral:tRNA from 2 species
GCGGGGGUGCCCGAGCAAGGUCAAAGGGGGCGGACUGAGGCUCCGCUGGCGAAGGCCUGCGUGGGUUCAAGUCCCACCCCCCGCA